rnacentral:lncRNA from 1 species
UUUUCUUAUUUUCGUUGAUUUGUAUGCCACAUACUCGCUCACAAGGCGAGCCGUUUUACUUACGAAUCAACGACAUUGAACUAUAUCUCUGAGUCUUACGGCGAAUUCGAGAAUAUCGUGCUGCAAACAAUCUCCCUCCUAUCGAAGUGCCCGACCUCAAAAAUAUUCUUCCUUCGCCGAUACCCGAGAUGGCAGAACCAGC